UUCUAUUCAGCGCCGCCAUCGUACUCCUCUGGCUCUUCACCAUUGGUCCACUUCUCCAGCUCUUCUCAUCAUUUUCCUUGCUUCACCGUCGAACUCUUCCUCGCCGUCAGCUGUGUCUUUAAUCCUCAUCACGUUCUGUCAUUAGGGGGCGCUGUCAUUGCCGGAUUCCUUCCUUGUCUGCCACCCCUGUUUCGUUUCUGAUCUUUUCAGUUUCACCCACGGUGUGUAGGGCCUGUAUGUAUGAGUAAGCUUUAAUUUUCUCUCCUUCUCAGCUGACAGUUUAAUGUGUAUGGUGUAAGUUCAGUCCUUUCUUGUUGUGAGUCUGAGAUUUUUGUUUCUUUUCCUGCUAAUUCAAGUAACAAAAAUCAAAGUUAUUCUCCUCUUCUUCGGUGGUAUCCGUGAAUUGAAGUGUGGCUGAAGUUACAAUAAAUUUAGUUGAGGGAAUUGUUGGUGGAACUUAUUGAGAAGUUAAGGAAUAAGCUAAGUCUUAUUUUGUACAAGAGGAACCCUUUUGCUACCAAAGGGUUGAGGUCCGGCAAAGGAAUUAGUGGAGAAUGGGGAAAGGAGCAGAGCUAGGGGUUAUUUGUGAAUUGUAAAGAACUACAACCCCUUUCUUUUGAGAAAAUCUAUUGUAAUGUAUUUAGAUUAGGGUGCCAGUAGGAUAUGAUUAUGUAUAUGUGCAUGAGUAUGUGUGGAUUGUAUGGCUUGUAUAUGAAUUUUUGUUUGCUUGUAGACUUGUGGCUAGAAAACUUGGUUAUAGUGUGUGGUUUUGAUGGAUUUAUUUAGUAG